UGCAAUUAAACUGAGUCCAGGCACCACAACGAUUCCAAGAGAUAAUUUUCCAAACUAAUUGCCUCAAGGAAACUCCAGCAACACUAAAAAUCAGGGGCAGACACCUCUGCUGUUCAGCACUUGGUGCCAUUACCUGGAGAACAGCUCAGUGCAGGCAAAUUAAACAAGAAAAACUCAGGAAUGAAAUCCUGAACCCAGGUAGAACUAAAGAAAACUGCGGUUGUGAGCACAGAGCUGAUCCUGCUCUCAUUUCAAGCCUCCUGUGCCUAAAGCCAGGUAAUUCUAUAAAACAAUGCUGUAUUUAUCUAAAAUUAAGAUUAAAGCUGAACACUGCCUACA